CAAUAGCGUAUAUUAAAGUUGUUGCUGUUAAAAAGCUCGUAGUUGGAUUUGUGGCGUACGGUGUGUUCCGGGCACUUGUUGUCUGAGUAACCUGCUGUUGCCAUCCUUGGGUGGAACCUGUGUGGCAUUAGGUUGUCGUGCAGGGGAUGCCCAUCAUUUACUGUGAAAAAAUUAGAGUGUUCAAAGCAGGCUUAUGCCGUUGAAUAUAUUAGCAUGGAAUAAUGAGAUAGGACUUUUUUGCUAUUUUGUUGGUUUGCGCAAGAAGGUAAUGAUUAAUAGGGACAGUUGGGGGUAUUCGUAUUCCAUUGUCAGAGGUGAAAUUCUUGGAUUUUUGGAAGACGAACUACUGCGAAAGCAUUUACCAAGGAUGUUUUCAUUAA
rnacentral:rRNA from 1 species